UACGUAGGGUGCAAGCGUUGUCCGGAAUCAUUGGGCGUAAAGCGCGUGUAGGCGGCUUAGUAAGUCUGCUCUGAAAGCCCGGGGCUCAACCCUGGGAGGCGGGUGGAUACUGCUGAGCUUGAGUCCGGAAGAGGCGAGUGGAAUUCCCGGUGUAGCGGUGAAAUGCGCAGAUAUCGGGAGGAACACCAAUGGCGAAGGCAGCUCGCUGGGACGGUACUGACGCUGAGGCGCGAAAGCGUGGGGAGCAAACAGG
rnacentral:rRNA from 1 species